UUCCUAUGGCCAUUUUUUAUCUGACGUGGAAAUGGAAAACUGUACUGGCCAGAGGGAGAUAGUUGGUGGUUGGUGGCAAGAAAGCCCGGCCCGUUUUUUAAUUGCAAUUUUUCAUUAAUUAAAAUUUGCUUAGUUUGCAUUUGAAAAGAGUUGGGCCCUGAAAAAAAGCGGAAAUUUGUAUGGAUUUAUUGUGAUUGAAGAGAGUGUAACUGGGAGCUAACGUGAAUGGAAAAUGCCUGAUGGAUGCGCCGAUUCAGCCGGAUUACGGUCUCGGAAACUGCAAUUACUAUUUAUCGAUUGCAUACCUCUUAUUCGGAGGUCAUCGGCAACGAUUUCGAUUAGAAUCUAGUAGAUUGGCACUUGAGAUCCUAAUACCUAGAAACCAAAUUUGCAAUUUCUUUGUAAAUAUACAAAUACAUGUAUUUAGAAAAGACCUAAGAACUAAUUGGAAUGAAACAAAGUGGAUUGUUUGAUAACAAGAAUAAAAUUUGUAUAUACCUUUUUGGAAAAAGCUUUUAUAUAAAAUAAAAGAAAUUUUGGAAACAGUUUUUCUACUACCUAUAAAA